rnacentral:rRNA from 1 species
AGAGUUUGAUCCUGGCUCAGAUUGAACGCUGGCGGAAUGCUUUACACAUGCAAGUCGAACGGUAGAGGGGGCAACCCCUUGAGAGUGGCGAACGGGUGAGUAAUAUAUCGGAACGUGCCCAGUCGUGGGGGAUAACGUAGCGAAAGUUACGCUAAUACCGCAUACGAUCUAAGGAUGAAAGCGGGGGAUCGCAAGACCUCGCGCGAUUGGAGCGGCCGAUAUCAGAUUAGGUAGUUGGUGGGGUAAAGGUUCACCAAGCCAACGAUCUGUAGCUGGUCUGAGAGGACGACCAGCCACACUGGAACUGAGACACGGUCCAGACUCCUACGGGAGGCAGCAGUGGGGAAUUUUGGACAAUGGACGCAAGUCUGAUCCAGCCAUUCCGCGUGCAGGAUGAAGGCCCUCGGGUUGUAAACUGCUUUUGUACGGAACGAAAAGGUUUGUCUUAAUACGAUGAGCUCAUGACGGUACCGUAAGAAUAAGCACCGGCUAACUACGUGCCAGCAGCCGCGGUAAUACGUAGGGUGCAAGCGUUAAUCGGAAUUACUGGGCGUAAAGCGUGCGCAGGCGGUUAUGUAAGACAGAGGUGAAAUCCCCGGGCUCAACCUGGGAACUGCCUUUGUGACUGCAUAGCUAGAGUACGGUAGAGGGGGAUGGAAUUCCGCGUGUAGCAGUGAAAUGCGUAGAUAUGCGGAGGAACACCGAUGGCGA